rfam:Candidatus Altiarchaeum sp. CG2_30_32_3053 cg_3.0_sub100_scaffold_60_c, whole genome shotgun sequence.
GGGGUCGUAGGGUAGUUUGGUUAUCCUUUUAGCUUUGGGAGCUAGAGACCUGAGUUCAAAUCUCGGCGACCCCA